rnacentral:lncRNA from 14 species
CUGGUUCACACCAAGCCCAAAGAGAACCUCAGUGAGUCUGAGUGAAACCCUGGCCCUCUUUCAUCAAUGUCCAUUGUGUAUGAGCAUGUUCCAGCAGCAAAGCAGUGAGUGCUGUAACACAAAUUUGAUAGAAUUUUGUUAUUUUGUCUGGAUGCUUUCUAAUUGCCUUCUGUUUUAUUUUUGGGCUCACUUUGAGGCUUAUAGCAAUAACUGAAAAGAUGAGGGCAGUGUCUAACCUGCCUGCACUGGAUUAUCUGCUGGCAAAUAGAAGAAUAAAGAAAAAAUGGUCAAAUUCAAGAUAACACAGAAGAAAAGACAGAGCUUUUGGAGAUACUAAUGCUUUUCAGCCAUUAGAUUUAAUUUUCUGUGUCAGUCACAGGCCAUUGUACUGUGGACCAGAUCUCUCUUCAGCAGCUUCUCCAAGUUUCUUUGGUUUUGCUUUUGCUUUAUUCAUGUUUGAAAGUUGCUUCUUAAAUGCAGGACAAUAAGACAGUGACUGUCCUCCACAUUAGUUUUACAGCUGUAGUGACGGGCAAGAUCUAUAAGCACAAAGACUUUGUACUAACAUGAAAUUAUUUACACACUUUAUUGCCAAAUGGAAAACACAAUAAUUAUGUCAAGGUUUACUCUUUGCCCAACAAGUCCUGAGAUGCUUGCAUCAGAGUGCAAAAUACACUGUUAGAGAUCUGUAACGAAAGUACAUUAAACUCUUUAAGUGUUUGAAAUGUAGCUGCAGAAGGAAAACUUUGGCAAAAGGCUGUGAAGUCAUCCUGGUAUAAUCAACCCAAAAAAAAUGCAUCUGGCAAUGUGACCCUCUGAUCUGAACAUUCAAUAAGAGCUACUUCUCCUUCUGGAAGGACUCAGAUGAGCUGUAGUGUUCUUCUCGUUUUUAAAUAUAUACAUUUGAUCGUCUCAGGAACUCAUCGUUCAAGAGUGAGUGCAAGCAUGAUUGUUGCUAGUGUUGUCCUUUGGAGCUGCUUGGGAUGUGCAAUUUGCUUGGUUUCCAGGAGGUUUUGUGUCUUGCCUUUAAGUUGGCAGACUAUGAAUCAAGUCCCUGAUGAAAAGACCCUCUCCAGCAUCCUUAUAGGCCCCCUUCAGAUACUGGAAGGCUGCUAUGAGGUCUCCACGCAGCCUUCUCUUCUCCAGCCUGAACAGCCCCAAUUUUAUUUGUUAUGUGAAGCCCAACGGCCUGGAGUACUCACCCGCCUGACACAUCCAGAAGGUGAUGACCAUAUUGUUAACAAUCCUGUGAGCAACUUCUCCCGGCAGUUCUCAGAAAAAGCAGCACUGCGGUGA